rnacentral:rRNA from 1 species
GCGUGGUUGACGGCUCGGUUCCCGCGUCGAUGAAGGACGUAGCGAGAUACGAAAGGUGUUGCGAAUUGCAAGAUUUCGCGAGUCAAUGACCAUCCGAAUGCAUCGCCGCCCUUCCUUCGCCUUCGGGCGGAGGGAGGACGCGUCGGCG